CACGUAGGCACCAAGCGUUGUCCGGAUUUAUUGGGCGUAAAGAGCUCGUAGGCGGUUCGGUAAGUCGGGUGUGAAAACUUUGGGCUCAACCCAAAGCCUGCACCCGAUACUGCUGUGACUCGAGUCCGGUAGGGGAGUGGGGAAUUCCUGGUGUAGCGGUGGAAUGCGCAGAUAUCAGGAGGAACACCGGUGGCGAAGGCGGGUCUCUGGACAGUUCCUGACACUGAGGCACGAAGGCCAGGGGAGCAAACGGGG
rnacentral:rRNA from 1 species